rnacentral:lncRNA from 1 species
UGAUAGUAGUAGAGUUUGGUUGUUCGGACCGAAGGGUAGUCAGACACCCCAGAUACGUCUGACAGUAUGUGACGAUAUGUAUGCAUGCUGGCUUGUUAUGUUAUAUGUGAUCGUAGUAGUAGGGGUGAAAUAGUCCCCGAGGAUCGGUUGUUAGGACCGAUGGGUAGUCAGCACCCCAGAAUGGCUUGACACGGGUAAGACGGCACCCCAGAAUGGCCGUAUGGGUAGGUCGGCACCCCAGAAUGGCCGUACCGGGUAGUCAGGCACCCCAGAAUAGCCUGGCAGUAUAUAUGUUAUGUGUUUGUAUGGUAUGCGGUACGUUGGGGGAACUCACUAAGCUUUGUGCUUACGUUUACAGUUUUGUUUUCAGGUACCUCUGCAUCGAAGGGGAAGGAGCCGGCGCGGUAGCGGCACGUCAUACACACACUCUUCGGUUUCCGCAUUUAUGAGAUUUACUGGGAUUGUACUCUGAUAUUUGAUGGGAUGUACGGUUUGGCUUUUGAGAACAUGGUUGCAAUGUGUUAUGGUGUGAACAAACAAUGUUUCUUUUUAUUUAGACAAUGUUUUUAUUUAUUAAUGUUUUCUAAAGUAAUAUCAAAAAAAAAAAAAAAUAAAAUUUGGGUCGUUACAAGUUGGUAUCAGAGCCCUGGUUUGAGGGAUUCGGACACGCCUUCGGGAGUGUUUGGACUCAAACCGAGGGAUUGAAAGAUUUUUCCAAAAGAAAUUAUUCUUUAAAACCCGGAAAAGAGUCACGAGAAAGAGUAAAGUGUGUGACGUGCGCGACCGGCCGAGCUCAAGUAAGUAUUCCCCAUAGUACCCAUACAAGUUUAUGUUAUGUUUAUCAGCUUUAUGAAUAUUGCAUGCUAGAAUAGGCUAAGGAUCUAGGAGUGAUGCCUUAUGUGCCUGUUUAUUUGUUCCAGCUUAUUGAAUAUUGCAUGCUAGAAUUGAGUAGACAGCAGUAGGGUAGCCUGUUUAGGUUAUGCCUGAUAGUAUGAGCUUAGCAUCCUAUGUUAAGUGUCGUUUCUUGUUCUAAGAACAGUUUUGGCUUGAGUCUGUUUUUCCUUAUCCGAAUGCUGCUUGCUUCGUGCUCGGUGGGAUUCUGAGUAAUGGGAGUGAGCCACUAGGUAAACACGUCACACCACAUGUAAUCAGGGUUGAAUAAUCCCAAAGUGUUGGAACUGGCCCUAUUGCGCAGCUCUUGUUUGAGUCCAACCGUUGUAGGGACGGAUCUUUUACUUGAAGGAUUAUCUAAUCCUCAUUACAUGUGAUGGUGUUUAGGUGGUGGCUAACUGGCAUUAUGAGGAGACCUACAGCAGCUGAGGACCAGUUGUGUUGAACUUGAGUUCUCCCUAGGGCAAGCCUAGGGUGAGAAUAUCGGAGAGUAGCAGUAGUAGAGGGGAGUUGGUGGAGUCGAGGAAUUCCUCGGAGAAGGUACGGAUAGAUGUGGAAGGUAGUAUGGGCCCGUACUACUGAAAGCAGAGGAUCCGUACCCGAGCCGAGGAAGGCCAAGACGAGACCAAGGAACCUGUAAGUAGUUGAGAUCCCUCAGAAAGUAGCAGUACCACUAAUGAUUAUUAUUGAUGUUUUGCAGAAUGGUGGUACUUCGACCGAGACCGACAGAUGGCGGGUCAGGAGAGGGGUCAGGUUCGGGAUCUGGCACCGAGCCGAUUGAGGAGAGGCUACGUGAGUUCAUCACGUCGGAGAUCACUAGGGGCAUCCUUGAGUCGACCCCCAUCAUCUUUGGGUCGAUCAAGGAAGGGAUCGUGGAGAUGAUGGAGGAUCGCCUACGGGCAUUCAGGAGCGACUUGGCCUCUAGCCAGUCAGGAUCUCGCACACUGUCCUUCAAGGACUUCAGGAGCAGUGGUGCGCCGGAUUUCCAUGGGGUGAAGGACCCCAUUGUCGCCAGGCGGUGGAUUGCGGAUAUCGAGUCCGCCCAGUUGAUCAGCUUCUGCCCCGAGGGGUCGAAGGUGAGGUACGCAGCAGGGUGUUUACGGGACCGGGCCCGAGAUUGGUGGGAGUCAGUGGGUGACUCGAUGGGAGCCUCGGCUGUCGAGGCAAUGACCUGGUCGGACUUUGUGACUAGGUUCAGGGCAGAGUUUGCGCCAGCGGUCGAGCUUCAGCAGCUGGCCAGGGAGUUCUUAGACAUGAGGCAGACGACAGAGACCGUGGCGGAGAUCACCGCCAAGUUUCGGGAGAGGGCUUUAUUGGUGCCCCAGUAUGCAGGUGACGAGGAUAUGAGGAGGACUCGUUACCACGACAUGCUACGAGCUGACAUUCGGGAGCAUGUUAGCUUUUCGGCUUGCCCUACCCUGGACUCCAUGAUUGCCAGGGCUAGGGAGAGAGAGAUAGAUUUGGAGCACAUCCGGAAACGGAAACUUGAGGAUGGUCAGUCAUCGGGGGCUUCGGGGAAGAAGCCCAAGGGAUCAGAUGGGAGGCCGAAAGGCCAGUCGGGACCGAGCCGCUGCAGGAGGUGCGGCAGGCCGCACGAGGGGGCGUGCAGGAUGGGAUCGUCAGGCUGCUACAAGUGCGGCAAGUUUGGGCAUAUCAGCAGGGAUUGCACUGCUCCUGCGACCGUUAUUCAGACAUCGGAGUUGCUGUGUUUCCACUGCAACCAGAGGGGCCACAAGAAGGCCAAUUGCCCCAUGUUGACAGCUUCAGCGCCAGUGAAGGCGCCAGCUCCAGCGACCCUGCGGAUCACGGAUGGCCGUCAGGGCAAGGCAGAGGCUCCAGUGGUGAGGAGUCGGGCAUUUCAGUUGACUGCCGAGGAGGCACGCGCCGCGCCCGAUGUGGUGACGGGUAUGAUUCCUUCCUUCUAUCUUUUAUUUUACGUUGUUAUGAUAUUGAUAUGUGCUCCGUGUGUAUACAUGUGUAUUAGGAUCGUUCCAUGUGAACGGCAUCCCGGUUCAGGUAUUGUUCGACUCGGGUGCAUCCCGAUCGUUCGUUUCUCUUGCUCUUAGCAAGAGAUUUCAUGAGACUUCAGGCGAGUUAGAUUGCCCGUUAGAGGUAGAGAUUGCCGAUGAUCGAUCGGUGCGAGCAUCGAUGGUGUUUCGAGAUUGUGUCCUGCGACUGUUUGAGGAGUGUUACCUGGUAGACUUGGUUCCCAUUCCAUUGCGUGGGAACAAGGUGAUUAUUGGUAUGGAUUGGUUGAGCCCUAAUGGGGCAGUGAUAGAUUGCGCACAGCAGCUAGUGCGAGUCAAGACCCCAAGCGGGGGAGAGUUAGUGAUUCAUGGAGAGCGGCCGCAGUGUGGACCCACUGUAUGUUCAGCAGCGAGGGCUAGGCGCUACCUUCAGCAGGGAUGCGCGGGUUAUGUCGCGUACGUGAUGGACACCCGGGAGGCGGGUAAGGCGACCGUGAGCGAGGUCCCGGUGGUUCGAGAUUUUGCUGAUGUUUUUCCGGAGGAACUACCUGGGAUACCUCCGGAGCGACAGGUGGAGUUCAGGAUUGACCUCGUUCCCGGUGCGGCUCCGAUAGCCAAAGCACCGUAUCGGUUGGCUCCUCCCGAGAUGCAGGAGUUGUCUACGCAGCUGCAGGAGCUGCUGGACAAGGGAUUUAUUCGGCCGAGCAGUUCGCCCUGGGGAGCCCCGAUUCUGUUUGUGAAGAAGAAGGAUGGGUCGCAUCGGAUGUGUAUAGAUUAUCGGGAGCUGAACAAGGUAACGGUGAAGAACCGUUACCCGCUUCCGAGGAUUGAUGACCUCUUUGACCAGCUUCAGGGCGCAUCUUGGUUCUCCAAGAUUGAUUUGCGUUCGGGUUAUCAUCAGAUGAGGGUCAGGGAGGAGGAUAUGCAGAAGACCGCGUUUCGGACGCGCUAUGGCCAUUACGAGUUUGUGGUGAUGCCGUUUGGGCUCACCAAUGCUCCUGCCGCGUUCAUGGACCUCAUGAACCGUGUAUGCAGACCGAUGCUGGACCGGUCUGUGAUAGUCUUUAUCGAUGAUAUCUUGGUUUAUUCCAAGACCCGGGAGGAACAUGAGGAGCAUUUGAGAGAGGUGUUAGAGACCCUGAGGAGGGAGAGCUUGUAUGCCAAGUUCUCCAAGUGUGAGUUUUGGUUGCGCGAGGUGCAAUUUCUGGGGCACCUCGUCAACCAGAACGGGAUUCUGGUCGAUCCGGCCAAGGUCGAGGCCGUGAUGAGAUGGGAGGUUCCGAAGUCCCCAUCUGAGAUUCGGAGCUUCCUAGGAUUGGCAGGCUACUAUCGGAGAUUUAUCCAGGAUUUCUCCAAGAUAGCCGUGCCCCUGACGCGGCUGACGAAGAAAGCCGUGGUCUUUCGGUGGGGACCCGAGCAGCAGGCUGCAUUUGAGACGCUGAGACAGAGAUUGUGUGAGGCGCCGAUCUUAGCCCUGCCAGAGGGCGUAGAGGAUUUCGUGGUUUAUUGCGAUGCGUCCAUUUCUGGGUUGGGCGCGGUGCUGAUGCAAAGGGGGCAUGUCAUUGCUUACGCUUCGAGGCAGCUCAAGCCUCACGAGGCGAACUACCCGACGCACGAUUUGGAGUUGGGGGCGGUGGUAUUUGCCCUCAAGAUUUGGCGACAUUACCUCUAUGGGGUUCGGUGUACCAUCUACACGGACCACAAGAGCUUGAGGUACCUCAUGGACCAGCCGAAUCUGAACAUGAGGCAGCGUCGGUGGUUGGAUGUGGUGAAGGAUUAUGAUUGCGAGAUCCUUUACCACCCGGGAAAGGCCAAUGUGGUGGCCGAUGCGCUUAGCCGCAAGACGGCGCCGAUCAGGGACGCCUGUUUGAGGAUGACUGUGGUGACUCCCCUGUUGGAGCAGAUUCGGGAAGCUCAACAGGAGGCUAUCAAGGAGGAGCAUCGGAAGAACGAGCGCGUAGUAGGUCAGGUUUCCUCCUUCGAUUAUGAUAGCCGAGGGUUAUUGACACUACACCAUAGGGUGUGGGUGCCGUAUCACGGGGGCGUGCGCCAGAUUUUGAUGGAGGAGGCGCACAAGUCCCGAUUCUCUAUUCAUCCCGGGGCGACGAAGAUGUAUAGGGAUCUUCGUCUAGACUAUUGGUGGCCCUGCAUGAAGCGGGAUGUGGCAUGGUACGUCGAGCGGUGCUUGACCUGCAGGAAGGUCAAGGCCGAACAUCAGAGGCCGCAUGGCAAGAUGCAGCCGUUGGACAUUCCACUGUGGAAGUGGGAAGAUAUCACGAUGGAUUUUAUCACGAAGCUUCCCAGGACCGCGCGUGGAGUGGAUUCGAUUUGGGUCAUCGUGGAUAGAUUGACCAAGAGUGCUCACUUUAUUCCGAUUCCGGAGAGCAUAUCGGCCGAGAAAUUGGCCGACAUCUAUAUCAGGGAGAUUGUGGCACGGCAUGGGGUGCCAGUAUCGGUGAUCUCGGACAGGGAUGUGCGUUUUACUUCCAGGUUUUGGAAGAGAUUCCAUGACGAGUUGGGCACUCGUCUGCAUUUCAGCACCGCCUUUCACCCGCAGACAGAUGGACAGAGUGAGCGGACCAUCCAGACUUUGGAGGACAUGUUGCGGGCGUGUGUUCUGGAUUUCGGUGGUAGCUGGGAUACCUAUCUUCCUUUGGCUGAGUUCUCCUACAACAACAGCUAUCACGCGAGUAUCGACCGCCCUCCCUUCGAGAUGUUGUACGGACGGAGGUGUAGGACCCCGAUAUGCUGGGGUGAGGUUGGCCAGAGAGUUAUGGGAAGCACCGAAGUGGUGCUCAAGACGACUGAGAGGAUACAGCAGGUCCGGAGCAGGCUUCAGACUGCUCAGAGUCGACAGAAAAGUUAUGCCGACAAGCGUCGAUCCGAUUUAGAGUUCCAGGUCGGGGAUAUGGUCCUCCUGAAGGUGUCACCGUGGAAAGGCGUCAUCCGAUUCAGGAAGCGGGGCAAGUUGGGCCCGCGAUUCAUCGGACCGUUCAGGGUCUUAGCCCGGGUGGGCAAGGUAGCAUAUAGGCUGGAUCUGCCAGCCGAGCUUAGCCAGAUCCACAGCACUUUCCAUGUUUCGCAGUUGCGGAAGUGCCUAGUGGACGAUUCUGCAGUAGUACCUUUGGAGGAUAUUCAGGUUGAUGACAGCCUGAACUACAUCGAGCGCCCAGUCGCAAUCCUCGACAGGAAGUCGAAGGAUUUAAGGAACAAGAGGGUGGAGCUAGUGAAGGUGCAAUGGCAGCACCGCAAGGGUUCAGAGUGGACUUGGGAGCCGGUAGACGAGAUGAUGGAGCACUACCCCGAGCUGUUUCAGGAUCAGGCAGCAGACUUCGAGGACGAAGUCUAAAAUAAGUGGGGGAGAUGUGUAGCACCUGGUUUCCGGUAUGUGAAUUUUAUUUGAGCAUUGCCCUAAUUUAGCCUUAGACUCGGCGAGUCAUAGGGUCCGACUCGCCGAGUAGGGACGAGACUCAGGACGCGUUUUAAGUAGGCGACUCGACGAGUCCAUAUCCUGGACUCGGCGAGUCACCGCUGCGGGAUGAAACCCUAAGUUUCAAGGGUUUGCACCCUAUUUAAACUCUCAUUCCGCCCCAACUCGUCCCCAUUCACCCCCAGAACUCCCCCUACAUCGUUUUCCCUUGUUUCCUUGAGAGUUUGAGGUGUUCUUGGUGUGUUCUUGAAGGUUUUGAAGAGUAAGAGGAGUAGAUCAAGAAGAGGAGAAGGAGAUCAGCCAUCCUUGUGUCAUUUCAACAUUUCCUUUGAGGUAUAACCCGUUUUCCCCUUGAUUCUAUGCUUAAAACUUCAUUUGGGUCCUUCUUGGUCAAUUCCCCAAGUUUGCAUGUUCAUUAUAUGUUGUAAUAAGGCGUUUGGCCUUUGGAUCUAUGUAAGAUUGAGCUCCAGGAGCUCAGAUCUGUUAGCUUUUUGGCCUCAUGAGGCUUGUUAGCCCUAGAUCUACCAUUUUGAGACAUUUUGAGCCUUAUAAUCCAUAUUGGUGAAUAUCCACACGUAAAGUUGGAAACUUUACGUGUGAUUCGUGUCCUAGAAGUCCAGAUCUAUGAAUGGCAUGGUCUGGAACCGAGCAAAUCGGUAUAUUUAAGGAGUGCAUGGCGACGACUCGGCGAGUCGCAUAGGUGACUCGGCGAGUCUGGUCGCGAGUCACCGAAUUGGUCCCUUCUUCAUGUGUCGAGUUGAGCCUUGAGUCACAGGGGGUGACUCGGUGAGUUGGGAGCUGAACUCACCCAUGUUAGGACUCGGCGAGUCAAUGCCCUGACUCGGCGAGUCCAAGGCAAUCUUCAUAGCUCAAGAACAGACUCGGCGAGUUGUUCAUACAACUCGGCGAGUCUUAGCAUAAAGUGUUCAUCGGAUGAAGAUGAACUCGACGAGUUGUUCAUACAACUCGGCGAGUAGGAUGAAGGUGUUGAAUGGCAGUUAGAAGGCGAACUCGUCGAGUCAUAGCCCGACUCGACGAGUAGAACCAGGGACCCAGGACAUUGGUUUGCUAGGGACUCGGCGAGUGGUGAUCCACUCGGCGAGUCGGGUCAACUGAAAGUUGACUCCAGCUUUGGCUUAGAGUUAAUCCAGGGGUAAAAUGGUCAUUUUACCUAAAGGACAGUUAGCAGUGUUUGAUUGAGUAUGUCGUGGAAAUUGCAGCCGGAGGACUCCCGGAGCAGCAGCAGUCAGUUAGUUCCCGAUCAGUUCAGCAGCUACUUUGAGGUGAGUUACCUUCCAGUAGCGGUGGGUCUAAGGCCACAAUGCCGACCCACCAGUAGGAGUUGUAUGAUAGAUGAUUGUCUUUGUGAUAUCAUCUAAGUUCGCUAGUACCUGACAUGUUAUAUGCUAGCAUGAUAUGCUGUAUGUGAUAGUAGUAGAGUUUGGUUGUUCGGACCGAAGGGUAGUCAGACACCCCAGAUACGUCUGACAGUAUGUGACGAUAUGUAUGCAUGCUGGCUUGUUAUGUUAUAUGUGAUCGUAGUAGUAGGGGUGAAAUAGUCCCCGAGGAUCGGUUGUUAGGACCGAUGGGUAGUCAGCACCCCAGAAUGGCUUGACACGGGUAAGACGGCACCCCAGAAUGGCCGUAUGGGUAGGUCGGCACCCCAGAAUGGCCGUACCGGGUAGUCAGGCACCCCAGAAUAGCCUGGCAGUAUAUAUGUUAUGUGUUUGUAUGGUAUGCGGUACGUUGGGGGAACUCAAUAAGCUUUGUGCUUACGUUUUCAGUUUUGUUUUCAGGUACCUCUGCAUCGAAGGGGAAGGAGCCGACGCGGUAGCGGCACGUCAUACACACACUCUUCGGUUUCCGCAUUUAUGAGAUUUACUGGGAUUGUACUCUGAUAUUUUGAUGGGAUGUACGGUUUGGCUUUUGAGAACAUGGUUGCAAUGUGUUAUGGUGUGAACAAACAAUGUUUCUUUUUAUUUAGACAAUGUUUUAUUUAUUAAUGUUUUUCUAAAGUAAUAUCAAAAAAAAAAUUUUUUUUGGGGUCGUUACAA